GAUCAUGGCUCAGGGUGAACGCUAGCUACAGGCUUAACACAUGCAAGUCGAGGGGCAUCAGUUUGGUUUGCUUGCAAACCAAAGCUGGCGACCGGCGCACGGGUGAGUAACACGUAUCCAACCUGCCCCAUACUCGGGGAUAGCCUUUCGAAAGAAAGAUUAAUAUCCGAUAGCAUAUAUUUCCCGCAUGGGUUUUAUAUUAAAGAAAUUCGGUAUGAGAUGGGGAUGCGUUCCAUUAGUUUGUUGGCGGGG
rnacentral:rRNA from 1 species